UAUUCAGUCAUAUUUCUACAUGCAUUUUCUAUGGGCAUGCCAAAUUUCAACGAAAAAUAAUUGGUAGCAGAUAGUUUAAAAUGUAUUAUAUUACUUAUACCACUUAUUUUAGGUAGCCUUAGGUAAACGUUUUUUUUUGUGUUUGUUUUAAGAAACAUGCAUAAACAUAAAUUAUUUUCAUAAAGAAGAAAGGUUGAUCUAGAUUUUUAUAUGACUUUUAUGCAUGGUUACCCAACAUUUUUAUGUAUUAUUUUGCUGACAAUAUUGCAUGAAAAUAUUGUCCCUGUUCUCACAUUAAUUUAAUGUCGAAGGAAUGUUGAGCCGGCUUUUUUUGUUAGUUUUUCUAUAUUUUACAUGCAUUUUCUAAGCACCUGCCAAAAAUCAACGAAAAAUAAUUGGUAGCAGAUAGUAUACUAGGUGUUAGACUUUUGGUACAAAAUUUUGGUUUUUCUGUUGUUUUUUUUCGUUAAGCUUGUUACGGGUGUGGAUAGGGGGGCCGACUAUACAAAAACAUAACAAAUCCCAAUAUCGUAUUAUUUUGAAUUUUAUUUUUAGAUUAAAAUAAAUAAUGAAUACUAACAGAGAUGUUGUUAGAUCUAUAACAGAUAAUCCUGCUGCACAUUAUGAAGCUUUUUUGAGAUAUCUUUAAUCUACCCAGCCUACCACAGCAACAUCUUCAUCUGCAAUUAGUGCUCUAGUUCCAUCCUCAAUUGCAUUGAGUGGUAAGCUUAAAAAUAUUUUUAUUGCAUCCUUUAAAAAGCCUGUUAGUUACAUCUUCAGCUGCUACAAGUGUCCCACAACCUCCACAACAAUUAACACAACCUUCUGCUGAGCUUACCUAUGGUGCCUAUAGAAGAUAUAGGGACCAGCACCCUGGACCGAUGAGCAAUCGAUCAUUUUUGCGGUGGGUCCGGUUAGGAGGGAAUGAUGGUGAGUCAUUCAGCUGGGCCUAUCAUUCACCUAACAGGGGUGCUGGAAGCUCCAGCAGAAAAGGAAAUCGUGGAGGAGGUCGUGGGCGAAGACGGAAUGGUGGCGGCCUUGUUGUGAAUGGUGGCAUCCACUAUUACUAGGCGCCACCACUCCUUUAUUUUUUUUUUAAAUAAAUAUAUAACAUUAUCAAGUUUGUUUUCCAUUUUGUCCGAAUUUUUGCAAUUAUUAACAUUUGAUUUAUUUAUUUCAAAUCUUUCACAAAAUGGUUUAAAAGCAAAGCAUUGACAGAUGUAGUAGUUUGCAAGGGACCUGUUUAGUAUGUUUUCAAUGUAAUUAAAAGUUUUAGGAUUUUUUGAGGUUUUGAAAUUUUGAGGUUUUCUCAUAGCCUAUAUUAAAUGCAGUUUUAAAUUUAUAUGUAAUGUUUUAUUGAGUUGAUAAAUGUUAAAUAUCUUUUCCAUACCUAAUUACUGUUCUUUAUUUUGUUUGGUUUAUAUACUUUUUUUUUGAGUUAAGAAUAUUAAUUGGUUUUAAACCAGUUUAAUUGUUUGAUUUUAAACCAGGUUAACUUAUGUUUACAGUUCCUAAAUAUUAUAUUUACGUAACAAUUACUUGUUUGCAGAAGGUUCAAAAAAAAGUGGAGUUAUGUUUGCGGAUACAGUAAAAAAAGAUUGAUCUUACAUAUGGUGCAGAAGGGGAUAUCACCACGGAGGAGGGCGUAGGCGAAGAAAGAAUGGUAGCAGUUGAAGAAGAAGUUUUUUGUAUUAAAAAUAUAUAUUUAACAUUAUCAAGUUUGUUUUCCAUGCUGUCUUAAUUUACUCCAACCUGCAUCUUGUAAUGUGGUUGGAGAAGACUGAGAGGAAGGGGGGGGAGGGGAGUUAAGCUUGGCAUCGUUCCGCCUCUAAUGUCAAUUUAUGCACCACUUGUAUAUUCUGUUAAGUAAAAAAAUAUAAUUUAAAGUCUUUAACACAAAAUAUAAUCAGUGUUUUUUAGGCUCAAAUAUUUAUAAGAUGGUAGCAUUUCACUACAAGGGUGUUAAAACGUAACAAAUACAUCCACCCUUUAAUCUAAAAUAGACCAAUAAUAUUUGGAAAAGUAAUGGAAGCAAAUUAGAACAACUUUUUGUGUAUAAAGAUAACAAAUUUUAUCAGCAAAAUACUCUUUCGUGU